GAUAGUAGUCCUGCUCAGUAGAAAGAACCAUCAGGUUCAAAAUUUGGUUCAUGUGUUUGACCGAUUGGACAAUGUUACGAAGCUACUAUCUGAGGCAUUAUGACUAGACAUCUCUAAGUCAGAAUUCCUUCUUCAAA
rnacentral:ncRNA from 1 species